AGGUUAUAGUAAGAGGAAAAGAGAAGAGAGAAUACAGUCAGAGUGCAUCAAGGGGUUCACAAAAGAGCAACAGGUGCUUCCAGAUUCCUGUGCAGAACUUACUGACAUCAGUGUGGUUUGGUCUCUCUACUGGAGAACACAGAACCAAAAGUUCAGGCUGCAAUACUGGCAGCUGAGGAUCAAAGUCCAGUGAUGGUGGCGAGGAUCAGACACAGCCCAGAGAUCUCUCAUCACAGCUGUAGGGCCAGCUCUGGAUCACAAAGGUGUGCGGGCAGACAAAGGAAGGCACAGAAGCAAGGGUCAAUGGAAUGGCCUGAAAAGGCUCCUGAAUGGAGCAGGGGCAGGUCCCUGCAAGACCCAUAAGGUUUUUCCUGAAUAGCUCUUCCUUCACAGUAGUGUGGAUUUGGGUUAGCUCCUGUCCUUGAGCCAGGCCACUGUGCUCCUGGGAGGCAAGAGUGUAAACUUCAGGC